CACGUAGUUAGCCGUGGCUUAUUCAAGGGGUACCGUCUUCCGCUCUUCCCCCUUAAAAGAAGUUUACAACCCGAAAGCCUUCUUCCUUCACGCGGCGUUGCUGGGUCAGACUUGCGUCCAUUGCCCAAUAUUCCCCCACUGCUGCCUCCCGUAGGAGUCUGGGCCGUAUCUCAGUCCCAAUGUGGCCGGCCAACCUCUCAGUCCGGCUACUGAUCGUCGCCUUGGUGGGCCGUUACCUCACCAACUAGCUAAUCAGACGCGAGGCCAUCUUCCAGCGAUAAAUCUUUGACGUCGGAGUCAUGCGGCUCCAACGCAUCAUGCGGUAUUAGCAGUCGUUUCCAACUGUUGUCCCCCUCUGGAAGGCAGGUUCCUCACGCGUUACUCACCAGUCCGCCACUAAGCAUUCCCAUCCGUUGUCCGAAAACUCCUUCAGGGGUGCUCCGUUCGACUUGCAUGUGUUAAGCACGCCGCCAGCCGUUCGUCCUGAGCCAGGAUCAAACUCU
rnacentral:rRNA from 1 species